GGUCUAUAUAAAGGGUGGUUUGCACUGUUGGCUGUCGUGAGGUUCUGCAUUUCCGUGGCGGUGGUUCCUGCGUUGCUGGUUGUCCUGUUGCAGGGUUCUCCUCGGUGACUAUUCGGUUGGCCUGUUGUGGCUCGUGUUGCUGCCACGUCGUAGCUGAUUAUUCUUCAGGCCAUGCACCAGAUCCGUACUUAGUCUCUAUUGCGUCAGAUGGAUGCGCAUGAAUCUUUGGAGUUUGGGACGUUUGGGUUUAACUGCUUGGAAAAGCUCACACAAAAAUUCUUCAACCCGUUUGGGUGGUGCGCCAACAAUAGGAUUGGAGAUGUGUGACGUGUUUUCUAACUUGUUGUUUUGUUGAGUUGUAAUAACCGUGAUUUGGAUUCUUGCAAGGUUAUGUGAAUUGAUGGAUGCGUAGCCCGGAGACAUAUCUCUUUUUCGAAGAAAAAAUUUAGACAUAAGAUCAUACUCCCUGUGAUACAUAAAAAGUGUCGCAUACUUAGUACAAAAUUUGUACUAAUUUAGUACAGAAUGGACGACCA